AUGCACGCUGGCGGCGUGCCUCAUCCAUGCAAGUCGAGCGAACAGACGAGGAGCUUGCUCCUCUGACGUUAGCGGCGGACGGGUGAGUAACACGUGUAUAACCUACCUAUAAGACUGGGAUAACUUCGGGAAACCGGAGCUAAUACCGGAUAAUAUAUUGAACCGCAUGGUUCAAUAGUGAAAGACGGUUUUGCUGUCACUUAUAGAUGGAUCCGCGCCGCAUUAGCUAGUUGGUAAGGUAACGGCUUACCAAGGCAACGAUGCGUAGCCGACCUGAGAGGGUGAUCGGCCACACUGGAACUGAGACACGGUCCAGACUCCUACGGGAGGCAGCAGUAGGGAAUCUUCCGCAAUGGGCGAAAGCUUGACGGAGCAACGCCGCGUGAGUGAUGAAGGUCUUCGGAUCGUAAAACUCUGUUAUUAGGGAAGAACAAAUGUGUAAGUAACUAUGCACGUCUUGACGGUACCUAAUCAGAAAGCCACGGCUAACUACGUG
rnacentral:rRNA from 1 species